rnacentral:rRNA from 1 species
GUGGGGAAUAUUGGACAAUGGGCGAAAGCCUGAUCCAGCCAUGCCGCGUGUGUGAAGAAGGUCUUCGGAUUGUAAAGCACUUUAAGUUGGGAGGAAGGGCAGUAAGUUAAUACCUUGCUGUUUUGACGUUACCGACAGAAUAAGCACCGGCUAACUUCGUGCCAGCAGCCGCGGUAAUACGAAGGGUGCAAGCGUUAAUCGGAAUUACUGGGCGUAAAGCGCGCGUCGGUGGUUGUGUAAGUUGGAGGUGAAAGCCCCGGGCUCAACCUGGGAACUGCCUCCAAAACUGCAUGACUAGAGUACGGUAGAGGGUAGUUGAAUUUCCUGUGUAGCGGUGAAAUGCGUAGAUAUAGGAAGGAACACCAGUGGCGAAGGCGACUACCUGGACUGAUACUGACACUGAGGUGCGAAAGCGUGGGGAGCAAACAGGAUUAGAAACCCGAGUAGUCC